rnacentral:rRNA from 1 species
UGGGGAAUUUUGGACAAUGGGCGCAAGCCUGAUCCAGCCAUGCCGCGUGCGGGAAGAAGGCCUUCGGGUUGUAAACCGCUUUUGUCGGGGAAGAAAAGCCUUGGGGUAAUACCCUGGGGUGAUGACGGUGCCCGAAGAAUAAGCACCGGCUAACUACGUGCCAGCAGCCGAGGUAAUACGUAGGGCGCAGGCGGUAAUCGGAAUUACUGGGCGUAAAGCGUGCGCAGGCGGUUUUGUAAGACAGAGGUGAAAUCCCCGGGCUCAACCUGGGAACUGCCUUUGUGACUGCAAGGCUGGAGUGCGGCAGAGGGGGAUGGAAUUCCGCGUGUAGCAGUGAAAUGCGUCGAUAUGCGGAGGAACACCGAUGGCGAAGGCAAUCCCCUGGGCCUGCACUGACGCUCAUGCACGACAGCGUGGGGAGCAAACA